CCGUAUUUUAAAAGAAUAUUGACUUUACUAGUUUUAUGUUUUGCAAAUAUUUUAAGUAAUUAAUUUUAAUAUACCUAACUGGAAUUUUCACAUGUAUCACUAGCAGUCCCUUAAAAAAAAUUACAAACCAAUAAAUACUUAUUUUUCUCAUUAUAGUCUAGAAAUAUUCUGAAAUUUUACUUUCCUUGAAUAAAACUCUAAAAGAAGUCAAUUCUUUGUCAAAUGAAAAUUGCUAGAAGUGUGGUGGAUGAUUUUCACAAUAAGACCUCUGUCAUGUCUCCUCCAUCAGUGGAUAAAACUUCAAUAUAAUAAACAUUUGCAUAAAAACAGAUUUUAAAUGUGUAGAUUUUAAAUUUUGCCACAUGAAUGAAUGUGAACGAGGUGAAACAGCCAGCCUUUUCAGUGAUUUUAUUGCAAAUGAAAAAUGUGAGCAUACAUGUAAUUAAAGCUUCAGUGCAGAUUAAAAGUACAAUACACCAUCCAUAAGCAAAAGCCUCAUACUAAUCAGCUGAUAACACAGUCUAUCUCAGACAAGAGCACCAGCCAUUCAAUAUAAUAAUCAAAGUUAAGAAUGAGAAAUAAUGAGACCAAAAAUAUGAAAUAAUAGGAUACGACAAAAAAGAAAACAUCAAAAGUCAGAGUCAGCUAUCAAAAGAAUUUAAAACAUCAAAAAGUGUAAAAGAUUUCUGAUUAUGGUGCAAAGCAGAAAUUCAUUUUCCAGUUUAAACCACCAAAACUACAAAAAUAUUCAAGACAAAAUGAAAGAUUUAGAAAUCUGACGACGAGCACUUUCAGGAGCUGCAGCUGAGCAGGAUUGAGACUCACCGAGCUGUCACCGCUUCUCUUAUUUGUAGAACAUUGUGAUCUGCAGCUGUAUUUUUUCCAGCGUUCUGUCCUUGACUUUUUGUUUUCCAAAUGAGAAAAUCUCUCCAAAAUCUGUUCUGCAGCGUUUCACUGCAGGUCACAGUCGGACGUGAAAUACAGCAGUGAGCUCUCACAAUCACAGUGAACUGAAACUAGGCCUUCAAAUAUAUUUUAUUCGACUGAAGUCAAACUAAAAACACUGCCUGAAAUGAUCCUGUGCUUCCUUAAGUGAACUUGAGAUGGACCUAUUCAGAUCAUUUCAUAUUUUUAUUAUUUCAGCCUAGAGCAGCUUUGCAUGAGUCACUAUUAAAAAUAAUCCUUCUUUACCUUCUGCUGGACCUUGAUGCAGAAAUCCUAAACCCAGUAAACCUGGAUGUAGCGACUAUGAUGUCACCCUUUGUUUUCAGCUUCAAGCUUCAUCAUUAUUCUUUUCACAGUCGUUGUUUGUUUGUACCAGGAGUGUGCUGAGGUAUCAUCCAGCACUCCUUGUUUGAUUGCCAAAUUGCAUCUGUUUACUAAAGUUUCAAACUGGAGCUCCGCCUCCUUGGAUGGUCUGUUAGUACAGUGACCUCACAGCAGCCAUAUUAUUGGUCACAUGAUGUCAUUAAAAAUGCUCCACAAGGCUCCAACAGCACAAACACGGUGCAGGGGUCCAGUUUAGGAGAAGCUGUUUGAGCUCCUCUCUCACUCAAAGCUAACUUUAUAAUGUGGUCAGUCCAUGAGGAUUAUUUUGAACUGUCAAUCAUACAAAGCUACCCUAGUGACAUGUUUGUAUGAAAAUGAGAUCUUUGUGUGUUACUUUUUUCAGUUCAGCUCAGUUGCUCACUCGAGUACAAUCCAUUGUGAACUGUACUCGAGUGAGUCCUCCUGACGUCGGGCUCUGCACUCCCUGGCCCAGUGUCCAAACUUGCUGCAGUAAAAGCAGCGAUCUUUUCUCUUAUUCCUGCGUGUCUGGCUGCUUCGAGGUGGCUCUGGCAGUGCCAACAGAUCUGAUCUCCAGUCUUCCGGAUGAGUUACAGAUGGCUGAUGUUUUGAGUUAAACAUGCCCUUUAAUUCCAUGUUUUCUAAAAUAAAUUUGAUCUUGGAAAAAGUAAAAGUUUCCCACUCAACAUGAUCCUUCAAAAGCUUCGCCACGUGAGGCUGCAACUUAUUUACAAGGUAAAGAUUAAACAUAAAAACAUUUGCUUCACUCAUAGUGGAAUUCCACAGUCGGUGGAAACGUUCAGUGAAAUCUGCCACCGACUCUCCAGGUUUCUGAAGAAUCAUCCAAGGGGGCACAAAUUCAGGGUCAUUCCAGGCUGUGUUUUUAAUCGAGGUGGCGCACUGUGUGUCGAGCCAUGCUGUCAUAUCACAAGUGCGUCGCCACCUGGCCUCGCCAUCCACUCCUGGCCAGUCAAAAUGUUCCUUCACGUUUUCCCACUUGUGGUUAUAAACUAACUUCAGCAACUUUUUGAGCUCAGCAGGAGACGGCUGAUACACCAUGCAGGUGAAACGCAGCCACCUGUGGAAGUCGCUGGGUGUUUUGAUGGGGUCAGGAGCAUCUCUUAAAAGACCGUAGAGCUCGCCUGGGGUCCAUACAGCCUUUAUGCCAUCCACAAGUUCUCUGCCGCUGCUCUCCUUUUCUGCCGUAGACCUGGUCGCGACAGGCGACUCUUUCAGAAGACUUCUCCUGUCUGUUUGCGUGCCUUUUUCCUCUUGCGUUUUAACUUGUGGAAUAUUUGGCGGCGGUUGUAGUACUUUUUCAGCUUCGGGACUUUGGUGCCCCUGAAGGAGCCAGUCAUAGUUUAGCCCCACGUGUUGCAGCUCCUUGAAUAACUUCUCCUCACUCGGGUGAGGUUGUACCAGUGUCACAGCAGAAGGAAAUUCCUUUCGCUGUUCUGGUCUUUUGGGACCUUCAAAUGUUUUCUGCCUCAGACGCUUUGAGCUGUUGGACCCCAUGAUGAUCGCUCCCGGUGUGCAGGGAAGACUGAUUAACACUCCAGGUGUUUCUCUGAUCACAGAAACAGAAUAAAUGUUGAUCAGUUUUGGAAACACACUCCUGAUGUUUAGAUUGGCACAGUUAACCUGUAACUCCCAUCGUAUAAAAUGACCAAUUAACAUGCAGAAAACUUUCAUCAUGCCUGAUAUAUUAUGACAUCAUUAUGACUAAUAUGUGUGUACAGCUGCAUCUAAAGGCAAAGGUCACUCUUUCAAGGAUGCCAAUAUUCACAUUUUGGACAGAGAAGACAGAUGGAGUGAACGACCCUCUUUAGACAGAGGGCGGGGCUUACAACACUGACUGUCUGACAUCUAUAAUCCAGUUUUGAGAUCCUUCCCAGACGCCUUAAUGCCCACUUUUUGGUGUCAUCUGAUUUCAAUUAGUCACAUGACAGAGUGAGGCAAGGUUUCACCCAAAACCACUGCUGACAGUGAC
ensembl:lncRNA